GCUGGCUGUCUGAAGAGGAGAGGGUGAAGGAAAUAUGGCGGGAAGAACACCCCCCUCCAUCCUCGCCGCAGCCCACCCAGCCGCGGAAUCGCAUGCGCACUGGGGACCUGGAGGAAAGGGCUUUUGUUGGGAAAUCAGGCCCACCGGAGGGGUCCGCGCAUGCGCAGGCUCCCCAGCCGCAGGGGGUGCGCGGAGAAGAGGGGCGGGGUGGUCUGAGCUGCUGUGCUGGCAGCAGUAGGCGAGGGCGCGGCUGCGGGGUUCCUGGUGCUGAGCACGGACGCCAUUGGAGCCCCAGGGAAGCCGGGAGCUGCCCGGGAGCCUGCCAGCUCAACCGAUGUGACAGACCCUGAGCCGAAGAAACAGCCUGCCACCGGGUCCCGCCCCCUGCCCCUGAGGCAGAGCUCUCAGCUCCCUGGGAGCCCCAGCAUGGCUGAGGGAAGCUACAGUGUGCAAUCUGGAAACUCCAGUGUCGAAGACAUGGAUGAGGGGAGCCACCAAGUCAGGGUGGCAGAGAUGGUUGGAGGCAGCGACUAUGAAGAGUUUGGUGCCUUUGGUGGCUAUGGCACACUCACCAGCUUUGACAUCCAUCUGCUCAGAGCCUUUGACACCUUGGGUUCCGGCUUUCACAUCUUAGCGAAUGAGCCCUGGGAGCUGGAAAGUCCUGUGCUGGCUCAGACCCUGGUGGAGGCAUUGCAGCUGGAUCCAGAAACCCUUGCCAAUGAGACCGAGGCCCAUGCCGCCAGUGUCGCCCGCUCUGCCGCCUCCAACCGAGCCGCUCGGGCCGCUGCCGCUGCCGCCCGCAGGUCCAUCCGUCAGGUGGUGGCUCACCACAUGGUGCCCACACAGCCGGCCACAGGAGACGGUGCCCAGCCUGGGACAUACUCUGAGGCUCAGGGGCCCGCCCCGGAGGCAAUCCUGGUCUCACCUCCGACAUCCCAGAUGUCAGUCGUCAGUGAGAUGGCCGCCCCUGGGGCUCCAGCAGUCUCCACGCAUUCCCAGACGGCCUCCCUGGACCAGGCGGCUGCUGCCAGGGGUCCAAGUACUGCCUGUGCUGGGGGUCCUAGUCCCGCCUGUGCCGAGGGUCCCAGUACUGCCUGUGCCGAGGGUCCUAGUACUGCCUGUGCUUUCUCUCAGGCUCCAAGUGCCAGUGAAACGGAUGCCACCUGGCCCCAGGCAGGCUUCCUGGGCCAGAAGGAUGUCUUUGAUUUCACUCAGCCAGCAGGUGUCAGUGGCAUGGCCUUCACCCGCCCCAAGAGACCUGCUCCAGCCCAAGAGGCCGCCACGGAGGACCCUAGUGCCGCCUCUGGUGGGCCUCAGGCAGCACCUGCCCGGGAAGCGGCAGCCACCGGACCCAAGAACACCAAAUCUGGGAAGGCUGUGGCCAAGACUCGGUGGGUGGAGCCUCAGAAGGUUGUGACCUCAGCGGCUGCCAACAGCAAGACGGCCACAAGCAUCCCUGAG
rnacentral:lncRNA from 1 species